rnacentral:misc_RNA from 1 species
GUAGGUGAACCUGCGGAAGGAUCAUUAAUGAAUUUUAGGACUCUCUUUUUAGAGGUCCGACCCUUUCAUUUCCAUACACUGUGCACACACUUCUUUUCACACAUUUUAACACUAUAGUAUAAGAAUGUAACAGUCUCUUUAUUGAGCAUAAAUAAAAUAAAACUUUCAGCAACGGAUCUCUUGGCUCUC